GACGAACGCUGGCGGCGUGCUUAACACAUGCAAGUCGAACGAAGAGCGAUGGAAGCUUGCUUCUAUCAAUCUUAGUGGCGAACGGGUGAGUAACGCGUAAUCAACCUGCCCUUCAGAGGGGGACAACAGUUGGAAACGACUGCUAAUACCGCAUACGAUCCAAUCUCGGCAUCGGGACUGGAUGAAAGGUGGCCUCUAUUUAUAAGCUAUCACUGAAGGAGGGGAUUGCGUCUGAUUAGCUAGUUGGAGGGGUAACGGCCCACCAAGGCGAUGAUCAGUAGCCGGUCUGAGAGGAUGAACGGCCACAGUGGGACUGAGACACGGCCCAGACGCCUACGGGAGGCAGCAGUGGGGAAUCUUCCGCAAUGGACGAAAGUCUGACGGAGCAACGCCGCGUGAGUGAUGACGGCCGUCGGGUUGUAAAGCUCGGUUAAUCGGGACGAAUGGUUCUUGUGCGAAUAGGGCGAGGAUUUGACGGUACCGGAAUAGAAAGCCACGGCUAACUACGUG
rnacentral:rRNA from 1 species